rfam:Oryzias latipes DNA, chromosome19, strain: Hd-rR.
UAUUAAACUAAUACCACCAUGAACACAUCCGAUCGCGUCCGAUCUUGUCCGAUCUCGGCUGCUAAGCAGGGUCGGGCCUGGUUAGUACUUGGACGGAGGACCGCCUCGGAAUACCAGGAGCUGUACAAA